rnacentral:rRNA from 1 species
CCAGACAUAAACCUAGAUAGCACAUACACACUCUAUCCGCCAGAGGACUACCAGCGAAAAGCUAGAAACUCAAAGGACUUGACAGCGUCCCACAUCAACCUAGAGGAGCCUGUCCUAUAAUCGACAACCCACGUUAUACCCGACCUGUCCUUGCCCCAUCAGCCUAUAUACCGCCGCCUUCCGCCCACCUAAUGAUAGCCCCAAUAGGCACAACAGCAGUCCGCUAAAACGUCAGGUCAAGGUGUAGCCAAUGGACAGGAAGAGAUGGGCUACAUUUUCUGCCACCAGAAAACACCACCGCGCCAUGAAACUUCCGCUUAAAGGCGGAUUUAGCAGUAAGCUCGGCAAGACAAGCCAAACUGAAGUACGCUCUGGGACG